GAUACCGGUAGUCAUUCUGUAAAUCAAUGAUUACUAGUAACUGAGUGGGGAGGGGGUGCCUAGUCACUGCCUACAUGAAAGGCGCCUUAAGUUUUUGUUUUAAAGUUAGAAUAUUAUUGACACUAUAACUAAGACCAAUUAUCAAUGGAGUAGAUCUUUGAUAUUUUAAUGAGGUCUAAACCUUUUUAUUUUUGUUUCAGGAUGAUGUUUUUCUUCAGUAAAAUAAAUGAAGGCAAAUUCCCUGAUAACUGAGACAAAUUCAGAGAGAGGAAGGAGAACUACUGAGCUGCUGAAUUUCUGACAGACAUACUUGCAAGGACUAUGAAGUUCUACUUAGCAUCUUCAAUGAACCAGACUCCAUCUGCUGUAACUGUGACUGCAUGGGGAUCAAAACCUGUGUAUUAUAAUCCUCAUAACAUGAAGCUAUGGUAACAAACAAGCAACCAUUGAUAAAAAGCCUGAUAUGUCCUUGUGUGUGUGAACCACAAAGCAACCAUCACUCAUAAGGAUGUUUUUAUGUACAUCAGAUGUUCAUUGUUUCACUGGAAAAAUUGUGAUUUUGAAUCAUUUAAGAAAUCAUGUUUUAUAAUGCGUUUUAUAAUAUAGUGCAAGUCAUGAUAUAACAGAUUCCCUGCAAAAGAAACACGGCUCAAAAGUAGACUAAGCUUUGUUUU